rnacentral:rRNA from 1 species
CCUACGGGAGGCAGCAGUCGAGAAUCAUUCACAAUGGGGGAAACCCUGAUGGUGCGACGCCGCGUGGGGGAAUGAAGGUCUUCGGAUUGUAAACCCCUGUCAUGUGGGAGCAAAUUAAAAAGAUAGUACCACAAGAGGAAGAGACGGCUAACUCUGUGCCAGCAGCCGCGGUAAUACAGAGGUCUCAAGCGUUGUUCGGAAUCACUGGGCGUAAAGCGUGCGUAGGCUGUUUCGUAAGUCGUGUGUGAAAGGCGCGGGCUCAACCCGCGGACGGAACAUGAUACUGCGAGACUAGAGUAAUGGAGGGGGAACCGGAAUGCUCGGUGUAGCAGUGAAAUGCGGAGAUAUCGAGAGGAACACUCGUGGCGAAGGCGGGUUCCUGGACAUUAACUGACGCUGAGGCACGAAGGCCAGGGGAGCGAAAGGGAUUAGAUACCCCAGUAGUC